rnacentral:rRNA from 1 species
CCUACUGGUGGCAGCAGUGGGGGAUAUUGCACAAUGGGGGAAACCCUGAUGCAGCGACGCCGCGUGUGGGAAGACUGUCCUCUGGAUUGUAAACCACUGUCCCCAGGGACGAAGAUGACGGUACCUCGGGAGGACGCUCCGGCUAACUACGUGCCAGCAUCCGCGGUAAUACGUAGGGAGCGAGCGUUGUCCGGAAUUACUGGGUGUACAGGGAACGUAGGCGGGCCUGCAGGUUGUGUGUCAAAUCUACCGUCUCAACCGGUAGCCGUCCUCAAAACUGCAGUUCGUGAGUGAAGUAGAGGCAGGCGGAAUUCCUAGUGUAGCGGUGAAAUGCGUAGAUAUUAGGCGGAACGCCAGUGGCGAAGGCGGCCUGCUGGGCUUUUACUGACGCUGAGGCUCGAAAGUGUGGGGAGCAAACAGGAUUAGAUACCCUGGUAGUC